UACGUAGGGAGCAAGCGUUACUCGGAAUUAUUGGGCGUAAAGGGCGCGUAGGCGGUUCGAUAAGUCUCAUGUGAAAUCCCAGGGCCUAACCCUGGAAUGGCAUGGGAUACUGUUGGAUUUGAGUUCCGGAGAGGAAGGCAGAAUUCCCGGUGUAGCGGUGAAAUGCGUAGAUAUCGGGAGGAAUACCAGUGGCGAAGGCGGCCUUCUGGACGGAUACUGACGCUGAGGCGCGAAAGCCAGGGGAGCAAACGGG
rnacentral:rRNA from 1 species